ensembl:snRNA U1 U1 spliceosomal RNA
AUUUCAACCUGGCAGGGGAGAUACCAUGAUCAUGAAGGUGGUUUUUCCCAGGGCGAGGCUUAUCCAUUGCACUCCAGAUGCGCUGACCCCUGCGAUUUCCCCAAAUGUGGGAAACUCAACUGCAUAAUUUGUGAUAGUGGGGGACUGCGUUCACACUUUCCCCUG